GACGAACGCUGGCGGCGUGCUUAACACAUGCAAGUCGAGCGGAAAGGCCACUUCGGUGGUACUCGAGCGGCGAACGGGUGAGUAACACGUGAGUAAUCUGCCCCUGGCUUUGGGAUAGCCACCGGAAACGGUGAUUAAUACCGGAUAUGACCACUUCUCGCAUGGGUUGUGGAGGAAAGUUUUUCGGCCAGGGAUGUGCUCGCGGCCUAUCAGCUUGAUGGUGAGGUAAUGGCUCACCAUGGCUUCGACGGGUAGCCGGCCUGAGAGGGUGAACGGUCACACUGGGACUGAGACACGGCCCAGACUCCUACGGGAGGCAGCAGUGGGGAAUAUUGGACAAUGGGCGGAAGCCUGAUCCAGCAACGCCGCGUGAGGGAUGACGGCCUUCGGGUUGUAAACCUCUUUCAGUACCGACGAAGCGCAAGUGACGGUAGGUACAGAAGAAGCACCGGCCAACUACGUGCCAGCCGCCGCGGUAAAAC
rnacentral:rRNA from 1 species